GACAGAGGGUGCAAACGUUGUUCGGAAUUACUGGGCGUAAAGCGCGUGUAGGCGGCUAAGUAAGUCGGGCGUGAAAUCCCCACGGCGUCAACCGUGGAAGUGCACUCGAAACUGCAUAGCUAGAGUCCUGGAGAGGAAGGUGGAAUGCUUGGUGUAGAGGUGAAAUUCGUAGAUAUCGAGAGGAACACCGGUGGCGAAGGCGGCCUUCUGGACAGUGACUGACGCUGAGACGGCGAAAAGCGGUGGGGAGACCAAACAGGAU
rnacentral:rRNA from 1 species